UACGAAGGGGGGCUAGCGUUGCUCGGAAUCACUGGGCGUAAAGCGCACGUAGGCGGCUUUCUAAGUCAGGGGUGAAAUCCUGGAGCUCAACUCCAGAACUGCCUUUGAUACUGGAGAGCUUGAGUCCGGAAGAGGUGAGUGGAACUCCGAGUGUAGAGGUGAAAUUCGUAGAUAUUCGGAAGAACACCAGUGGCGAAGGCGGCUCACUGGUCCGGUACUGACGCUGAUGUGCGAAAGCGUGGGGAGCAAACA
rnacentral:rRNA from 1 species